UACGUAGGUGACAAGCGUUGUCCGGAUUUACUGGGCGUAAAGAGCGCGCAGGCGGUCGAUCAAGUCGAGUGUGAAAGCCCCCGGCUCAACUGGGGAGGGUCAUUCGAUACUGAUCGACUCGAAGGCAGGAGAGGGUAGUGGAAUUCCCGGUGUAGUGGUGAAAUGCGUAGAUAUCGGGAGGAACACCAAUUGCGAAGGCAGCUCGCUGGGACGUUACUGACGCUGAGACGCGAAAGCGUGGGGAGCAAACAGG
rnacentral:rRNA from 1 species